AUCAACCGAGAUUCCCCCAGUAGCGGCGAGCGAACGGGGAGCAGCCCAGAGUCUGAAUCAGCUUGUGUGUUAGUGGAACGGUCUGGAAAGUCCGACGGUACAGGGUGAUAGUCCCGUACACCAAAAUACACAGGUUGUGAACUCGAAGAGUAGGGCGGGACACGUGGUAUCCUGUCUGAAUAUGGGGGGACCAUCCUCCAAGGCUAAAUACUCCUGACUGACCGAUAGUGAACCAGUACCGUGAGGGAAAGGCGA
rnacentral:rRNA from 1 species